GAGACAGGUGCUGCAUGGCUGUCGUCAGCUCGUGUUGUGAAGUGUUGGGUUAAGUCCCGCAACGAGCGCAACCCUUAUCCUUUGUUGCCAGCGAUUCGGUCGGGAACUCAAAGGAAACUGCCGGUGAUAAACCGGAGGAAGGGGGGGAUGACGUCAAGUCUUCAGGCCCCUUACGAGUGGGGCUACACACGUGCUACAAGGGCGCAUACAAAGAGAAGCGACCUCGCGAGAGCAAGCGGACCUCACAAAGUGCGUCGUAUUCCGGAUCGGAGUCUGCAACUCGACUCCGUGAAGUCGGAA
rnacentral:rRNA from 1 species